UAUGAGUCUUAUUCUUUAUGAUCCCACAUAAUAUGUGUAUAUGAUAUAUAACUUAGCAUGUAUUGACAAAAUUAUUAUAAUUUUGUUAAGGACUUUAUUAUUCAUUAAUUGUGAGAUUAAUUAUAGAUUUUAUUUUGUGGGAUGAACUACAGAAAGAAUGCCAAAUCAAAGGUAAAUAAUUAAAUCAAUGUGUAUAGUUGGAAAGGAAUUGAAUUUGCGAUCUAAAACUUCUUAGAAAUUUGAACAUAGGAUUUCACUUUUUUUUUUAACUUAAAAACG
rnacentral:misc_RNA from 1 species